GGUGGAUGGUAUAGGGUGCGUCAGUGGUGCCUUGGGGUGUGAUUCUUUUCUUUUCGUUUCUUUUCUUUCUUUUAUUUUUUUUACGGGAAAGGAAGCAGUUCUAGGAUAAGUUUGCUUUGGAUACUUAAAGGUACUGAGAUAUUGGUUAAGUUUACAUGGAUGAGAACUGGUAAUUUAUGCUGGAAACUAGCAAUUCAACGCAAAACCCAAGUUAUCUGUUGUAAAAGUAAAUAAGGUUGUUUUAGAUUCUUAAAGGUACUGAGAUAUUGCUUAAGUUUACAUGGAUGAGAACUGGUAAUUUAUGCUGGAAACUAGCAAUUCAACGCAAAACCCAAAUUAUCUGUUGUAUAAGUAAAUAAGGUUGUUUUAGAUUCUUAAAGGUACUGAGAUAUUGCUUAAGUUUGCAUGGAUGAGAACUGGUAAUUUAUGCUGGAAACUAGCAAUUCAACGCAAAACCCAAAUUAUCUGUUGUAUAAGUAAAUAAGGGUGUUUUAGAUUCUUGAAGGAACCGAGUCAUAAGUUAGGUUUACAUGGAUGAGUAUUGGUGCUUUAUGCUGGAAACUCGUGAUUCAACGCAAAACCCAAAUCAUCUGUUGUAAAAAUAAAUAAUACCAAGGUUGUUUUAGAUUCUUGAAGGAACCGAGUCAUAAGUUAGGUUUAUAUGGAUGAGUAUUGGUGCUUUAUGCUGGGACCUAGUGAUUCAAUGCUAAAUAAAGAUAUGUUGUAAGAGUAAACAAAUCAACCUUUAAAAUAUAAGACAAAACAUGAACUGAUCUGACUUUAAACAUAAAUAAAUAAAUGAGCAACAGAUUUUGGGGUAUAUAAAGAAGUGAAACAAAAACUGCUGAUAUGAAAGUGUAGUAAAAAAAGAAAUAGAAUAAUAUGAAUGGAAAUAAUCGCCCUUAGGAGACCUGCUACAAGAAUAUAGAAGUUCAGUAAAGUUAAUACGAUCCAAAUCUCUACCAAGGUAUAGAAGACUUACUAAGAUUAGCAUGUAUACAAGAGAGAAAAGUUACAGGUUAAUAAGAGAUAGAAAGUUGGAAAGUUUCGUUUAGUCGGCGCAACAUCUAUGGUCAUAUGCCGGAGAGAGACAGAAGGGGAAGGAAUUAUAGGAGGGGUUAAUGAGAGAUACUACCUACAUCCCUUCAAUAGUUCCCCCUACAAGAAACAGAAUACAAGGGAAAAAAGUAGUAAUCAAUUAACCUCAAUAAAAAAAUAGAAGAUUGCAGUAGUGCUUGAACUAAUGAGGAUAAGAUGAUGGAUAGUGGCAAAGAUGGAAUGACAAUGCAAAUAUUCAUAGGGACAAAAGUACUAAUCAAUUAACCUCAAUUAAAAAAAAAGUACAAAAUUGAAGUAAUGCUUGAAGUAAUGAGGACAAGAAGGUGAUGGAUGGUGACACAGAUGGAGCGAAAAUGCAAAGAAUAUUCAGAAGGACAAAAAAGUUAACUGCAACCCCACCGAUUAUAGUUUUUUGAAUGUUUAAAGAAGAAAUUCAAUCAGUUAAAAGAAUGAAUUUAAACCCCUAAUCACAUACAGUUCUGAAAACGUUAGAUGAAGAAAUGAUAAUAAUAUAAAAAAAAAUUAGUUCUGAAAAUGUUUGAAAGAAGAAAAUCAACAUUGGUCAAUAGAACUAAAAAUACCAAAUCAAACUAAAAGAAUAAUAUAGGAAAUACAUAUCAAUUUUUCCCUGCAAAAUAAAGAUACAGAAAAACACUACCCAUCCCACUACUCAUCCCAUAAUUAUCCCCAAAGAACAACAACCUUAUAAACAAACAUAAAAUUAGACAUAACAUCCUACUGAACAACACUACAUAAAGAGGGAUUAUAUAAGUACUACAAACUACUACAAUAUAACAACAAUAACAACUUUAAAAUAUCGCUUAUACGUCUUCAUUCACGGAUUAAAAAUGAGUAACCAUGCAACAUCCAGUGGUAUUAUUAUUAUUAUUAUUAUUGUUAUGAACCAUCUCAGGCAUGCCAAAAACAUUACUUUAGUCUGCCCUUCAUUCCUCAGCGAAGGGGGCAUGAACAUAGCUACACACGGGUCAGCCAGUCAGUCACAUCGCCAGGCAAGCAAAAUACAUCAGCUACCCAUCAAUUUACAGCCUCUGGGAUGUAAACAAUCAGGGUUAUUUCAGCUGUUAACACUACCAGCACAAUCUUGAAGCCAUGCAGUCUGGAGGAAGCAAGGUACAUUAAACAAGCUCUCCCUAUGUGCUGGCCUCGAGUGGGACAUACGAGAACUAGAGGGGAGCAAGAGGGAAGAGGGGAACGUCUCUAUGACAUCCUCAGGUGGGGUAUGGGUAAAUGUUUAUUGGCAAAGGCACUGUAACCUUACCUUUGCACACAGGAGCUAUAUGAGGGUAAUAGGGAAGAGGGGGGAUGAGGGGCACGUCUAUGGCAUCCUCAGGUAGGGUGUGGGCUGGUGUUUAAUUGGCAAAGGUACAACAUUCACCUUUGCAUUUUUCAAGAGUGGCACACCUUUGCAGUUUUAAGAUAUAGAAAAUUUUGGGGCACUAGUAAAUUUCUGAGAUGGGAUAUGAUGAAAAAAUUGGGCGUGAGUUCUGUUUCUCAAGGGCAUUUUAGUCAUGUUUUCAGAGGUGGAUCAGGCAGCCGAGAGACAAGGCACAGCAGGGUAGCAAAGGGACUCCAGCGACCUUCAGACAUGCAGACAAAAAAGACACGUAUUCUCAAACAUUACGAGGCUCACAAACCCACACUGGAUAAGGCUCUAGUAGAGGUUGUUGUGAGUAUUUCCAUGGGUACUAUUAAGACCCUAGUGAUAGUUUGGCAAGGCUUCUGUAUUGUGAAUAUGAUUACAAUUCAUUAGAACCAUUUCAGGGCUCACAC